UAUUAAGUUAAAUAUAUAAUGGUUAUAUAUAAUGAACAUUAGUCGUGAACUAGUAUUAUUAAGUAUUAUCAUCGAACUUAAAAACUUUAAAAUUAAAAAAAAAAGAGAAUUGUAAUAUAUUCAGUAUAUAUGCAUGCUAAUUAGAUUCAUGUAUAUAAGGGUUGUUUUUGUAACAUAAUAGACAGACUAAGAACAUAACAAACAUUGCAAAACAAGUUCAUGAUUUUUACGCGUGUAUGCAGGAGAGGAAAAACGUUUUUUUCCGAUUUAGACACGUGUCCUGACAAUUCCCAGGAAAUUCCUGUGACACCGGUUUUACAUCCAAACUACCAGCCAUAUGGCAGUGUUAAGAUAGUAUGCUAUCACAAAAAGUUGAGUUCGAAGUUAUAUGGAGAGAAUUGUAGAUUACAUUAUUAAUAAAAGAU